ACCACAAGAGCGUGGAGUAUGUGGCUUAAUUUGACUCAACGCGGAAAAGCUUAUCUGGUCCGGACACAGUGAGGAUUGACAGACAGUUAGACAGAAGUGAGGUUUUGGUAACAAUUGAGAGAGUUGAAGUUCUUUCAUGAUCUUGUGAGAGGUGGUGCAUGGCCGUUCUUAGUUCGUGUAGUGAUAUGUCUGCCUAAUCGCGUCACGAUAACCUAUUGGUCGACAACCCAAUUAUCACAACUGCAGCAUAACUCCCCUUGGGUGGGCGAGGCUCUGUGUAGGAUAGACCUCUGAACAGUACGCAACGAACGCGAUCGUAAUCCCUUGUUGAGUGGCCAUCCUGUAAGCUGCUGGAUUAGGAACCCAGUGGUAUUAUCUCAGCCACAGAUUUUCUGGUUGUAGUGGGCCAGUUUUGAAACUCGGGGAACAUCUGUGACUUUCUU
rnacentral:rRNA from 1 species